rnacentral:rRNA from 1 species
GGUGAACGCUGGCGGCGUGCCUAAUACAUGCAAGUCGAGCGAACAGACGAUGAGCGUUCGCCUCUGACGGUAGCGGCGGGCGGGCGAGUAACGCGUGGAUCACCUACCUAUAUUACGGGGGGAACUUCGUGGAACCGGAUCUAAUACUGGAUCAUAUAUUCAACCGCAGGGAGCAAUAGUGAAAGACGGUUUUGCUGUCACUUAUAGAUGGAUCCGCGUCGCAUUAGCUAGUUGGUAAGGUAAAGGCUUACCAAGGCAACGAUGCGUAGCCGACCUGAGAGGGUGAUCAGCCACACUGGAACUGAGACACGGUCCAGACUCCUACGGGAGGCAGCAGUAGGGAAUAUUCCGCAAUGGGCGCAAGCUUGAUGCAGCCACGCCGCGUGGGUGAUGAAGGUCUUCGGAUCGUAAAACUCUGUUAUUAGGGAAGAAAAAAUGUGGAAGUAACUCUGCAAGUCUUGACGGUACCUAAUCAGAAAGCAACGGCUAACUACGUG